rnacentral:rRNA from 1 species
GCAGCAGUGAGGAAUAUUGGUCAAUGGACGCAAGUCUGAACCAGCCAUGUCGCGUGCAGGAAGACAGCCCUACGGGUUGUAAACUGCUUUUAUACGGGAAGAAAAAGCGCUACGUGUAGCGCCUUGCCGGUACCGUACGAAUAAGGAUCGGCUAACUCCGUGCCAGCAGCCGCGGUAAUACGGAGGAUCCAAGCGUUAUCCGGAUUUAUUGGGUUUAAAGGGUGCGUAGGCGGAUAUAUAAGUCAGCGGUGAAAUCCUGCAGCUUAACUGUAGAGUUGCCGUUGAUACUGUGUAUCUUGAGAGUAGAUGAGGUAGGCGGAAUGUGUUGUGUAGCGGUGAAAUGCAUAGAUAUAACACAGAACACCAAUUGCGAAGGCAGCUUACUAAACUAUAUCUGACGCUGAGGCACGAAAGCGUGGGGAUCAAACAGGAUUAGAUACCCUGGUAGUCCACGCCGUAAACGAUGAUUACUAGUUGUUUGCAAUAUAUCGUAAGCGACUGCGCGAAAGCAUAAG